AAAUAAGAACAAAGUAUAAAAGAAUUAUAAAACACUAACACGUUUCACCUAUAACAGGCUUUCUCAAAGUGUUCGCUUUGAGAAAGCCUGUUAUGGGUGAAACGCGUUAGUGUUUUAUAAUUCUUUUAUACUUUUUUCUUAUUUUUUUUUUAUC